UACCAGCACCCCGAGUGGUCGGGACGAUUAUUGGGCCUAAAGCAUCCGUAGCCGGUUCUACAAGUCUUCCGUGAAAUCCACCUGCUUAACAGAUGGGCUGCAGAGGAUACUAUAGAGCUAGGAGGCGGGAGAGGCAAGCGGUACUUAGUGGGUAGGGGUAAAAUCCGUUGAUCCAUUGAAGACCACCAGUGGCGAAGGCGGCUUGCCAGAACGCACUCGACGGUGAGGGAUGAAAGCUGGGGGAGCAAACCGG
rnacentral:rRNA from 1 species